CAGUCGGAUCGAUCGAUGCUGGCGGGCAGGAUCCUCUUGAGAGAAUCGCCUACUUGCUUGAUGGACAAGUUUCGAUCGAAUAAAACGUGAAAUGGGAAAGCCCGGCAAAAAAGUUGGGACGAUAUUUUCGGUUCUAAAUGGGGAAAGGACAAACCAUUGGAGCUGAAGAUGAGAUCGACGUCGUCGGCCGUCGUAUCCUGGUGUGUUUUGGCCUUGUUCUUUUCCUGAAUGAGGAAUUCGCCGUGGCCGCUGCUGCCCUGCGAACUGCGCAGCAAUUUGACAUCAACGUCCACUUUAUGCAGCUUUUUUGCCACGGCCUGUAAACAGAAAUGUUGUAUACUUAAUCAUAAACUGAAGAGAGACGAUAACGUUUCAUACGUUAACGAUGCCGAUGACGAUCGAUUCGAGACCAGGACGGUCGGAGUAAUAAUGCAAAAUGAGAGAGCCGUCAGGUGCAUCGGUGCAACGGAAAGACGGUGCCUUCAUCCCAGGAUAAACUUGUUCAAAAUCAAGACGACAAGUCAUUUAUUUUACAAAUGAUUUUUAGGAAUAUCGAAGACGACGUAUGAUUGAAGAAAACGAUACCUGGAGGAAGUCGCGGGGUGUGGCUCCCAAUACCUGAAGAAUUCGAUCAUAACCGGAAUCUUGGCAGAAAUCCAGAAAUUUCUCCCCGAAUUUUUCCAACAGGAGAUUGGCUGGCACCUCUGUGCAUUUUUGGAUCAAUUUUAUGCAUAACGAACAACGGAACAAAAUUAUUGGAUAAAGUGACAGAUUUGGCGAACAAGGAAAUGGCCUUCCAUAUUGACUUCGGCUUCCUUUCUACAAUUAAACAAACGAAAGGAAGUCGAAAAGAAUGCAAAAAGAAAUACAAUUCCCGACGGUGUUGCACUAUCAGAUAAUUAAGAAUGAAACAGUGGCGCAAUCCUACCAUAAUUCUCGAGGACGAGAAGUUCGAGUGCGUAAUUGACGAAUCCGUACUAUCCAAAAACAGUGAACACGUCCAGACAAGGGAGAACAGUUGAUGUCAUCAAACCGUAAAGCUGGCGACUGUAAACAGCGGAAUGAAAUGGCAACCAGCAAAAGGCCGUAGAGUUAAAAAGAGAGACGAGCAAACUCCAGGAGCGUAAGAUGUUGGGCGAGCCAGCAAGCGAACUGUGUGCUAUCGUCGACUGUGUGCCAGAG